AGUUGUAUCCUGGCUCAGAACNAACGCUGGCGGCAGGCCUAACACAUGCAAGNUCGAGCGCUACCUUCGGGUGGAGCGGCGGACGGGUUAGUAACGCGUGGGAAUAUACCCUUCACUAUGGAAUAGCCUCGGGAAACUGAGAGUAAUACCAUAUACGCCCUUCGGGGGAAAGAUUUAUCGGUGAAGGAUUAGCCCGCGUAAGAUUAGAUAGUUGGUGGGGUAAUGGCCUACCAAGUCUACGAUCUUUAGCUGGUUUUAGAGGAUGAUCAGCAACACUGGGACUGAGACACGGCCCAGACUCCUACGGGAGGCAGCAGUGGGGAAUCUUANACNAUGGGCGAAAGCCUGAUCUAGCCAUGCCGCGUGAGUGAUGAAGGUCUUAGGAUCGUAAAGCUCUUUCGCUAGGGAUGAUAAUGACAGUACCUAAUAAAGAAGCCCCGGCUAACUCCGUGCCAGCAGCCGCGGUAAUACGGAGGGGGCUAGCGUUGUUCGGAAUUACUGGGCGUAAAGCNUACGUNNGCGGAUCANAAAGUAUGGGGUGAAAUCCCAGGGCUUAACCCUGGAACUGCCUCAUAAACUCCUGGUCUUGAGUUCGAG
rnacentral:rRNA from 1 species